rnacentral:rRNA from 1 species
AGAGUUUGAUCCUGGCUCAGGAUGAACGCUAGCUACAGGCUUAACACAUGCAAGUCGAGGGGCAGCAUGGUCUUAGCUUGCUAAGGCCGAUGGCGACCGGCGCACGGGUGAGUAACACGUAUCCAACCUGCCGUCUACUCUUGGACAGCCUUCUGAAAGGAAGAUUAAUACAAGAUGGCAUCAUGAGUCCGCAUGUUCACAUGAUUAAAGGUAUUCCGGUAGACGAUGGGGAUGCGUUCCAUUAGAUAGUAGGCGGGGUAACGGCCCACCUAGUCUUCGAUGGAUAGGGGUUCUGAGAGGAAGGUCCCCCACAUUGGAACUGAGACACGGUCCAAACUCCUACGGGAGGCAGCAGUGAGGAAUAUUGGUCAAUGGACGAGAGUCUGAACCAGCCAAGUAGCGUGAAGGAUGACUGCCCUAUGGGUUGUAAACUUCUUUUAUACGGGAAUAAAGUGAGGCACGUGUGCCUUUUUGUAUGUACCGUAUGAAUAAGGAUCGGCUAACUCCGUGCCAGCAGCCGCGGUAAUACGGAGGAUCCGAGCGUUAUCCGGAUUUAUUGGGUUUAAAGGGAGCGUAGGCGGGUUGUUAAGUCAGUUGUGAAAGUUUGCGGCUCAACCGUAAAAUUGCAGUUGAUACUGGCGACCUUGAGUGCAACAGAGGUAGGCGGAAUUCGUGGUGUAGCGGUGAAAUGCUUAGAUAUCACGAAGAACUCCGAUUGCGAAGGCAGCUUGCUGGACUGUAACUGACGCUGAUGCUCGAAAGUGUGGGUAUCAAACAGGAUUAGAUACCCUGGUAGUCCACACAGUAAACGAUGAAUACUCGCUGUUUGCGAUAUACAGUAAGCGGCCAAGCGAAAGCGUUAAGUAUUCCACCUGGGGAGUACGCCGGCAACGGUGAAACUCAAAGGAAUUGACGGGGGCCCGCACAAGCGGAGGAACAUGUGGUUUAA